UGGGGAAUAUUGGACAAUGGGCGAAAGCCUGAUCCAGCAAUGCCGCGUGAGUGAUGAAGGCCUUAGGGUUGUAAAGCUCUUUUACCAGGGAUGAUAAUGACAGUACCUGGAGAAUAAGCUCCGGCUAACUCCGUGCCAGCAGCCGCGGUAAUACGGAGGGAGCUAGCGUUGUUCGGAAUUACUGGGCGUAAAGCGCGCGUAGGCGGCUUUUCAAGUCAGGGGUGAAAUCCCGGAGCUCAACUCCGGAACUGCCCUUGAAACUGGGAAGCUAGAAUAUUGGAGAGGUAAGUGGAAUUCCGAGUGUAGAGGUGAAAUUCGUAGAUAUUCGGAAGAACACCAGUGGCGAAGGC
rnacentral:rRNA from 1 species